GACUAGUAAUUAAGUGUAUAGCAACAUGUUUAAAGAAUAAAAAAUAUAGCCAAAUCUAUAAGGAUAGAUUCUAUCAUUGAUACUCUUAUUAGCGAUAGACUCUCACCGAUAAACUCUUGUUAACGAUAUAGUCUAUCUCUAAUAGGCUCCAAGAGCUUGAUCUAGAUUUUGCUAUAUCUGUAAAUUCUUUUGCAUUGUGCUAUAUCUACUAAUAUUUUGGACCUGAUUACUAUAUUUGUAAUUGUCCCUAAUUUCUUCCUUCUCUUACUGCUGAUCUCCCUUUCUCCAUUUUUUUCUAGUUGCAGAUUUGCAUCAUUGGCCAUCAAAGCGAGGUUAUAUAUACGCCUUUUCUAAGGGUUUUUUGAGUUUUUGCUUCUUUCAUGGUGGAUACUCAAACUUCUAAGUAUGAUCUAAGGGAUCCUUCAUCAUCUUCUUCGGGGAGUCGGCCUCUUUCACAAUCUGCUGUUGUACAACAUGCCAACCCUUACUUCCUUCAUCGCUUUGAUAGUACCAAUUUGGUAAUCGUUUAUGAUCUCUUUACUGAAUUGGACUACCCGUCAUGGAGCUGUACGCUGAUUCUUGGUUUUAUCGUCAAAGAACAAGUUAGGUUUUGUUGAUGGUACCUUAUCAAAGCCGACCUGUGAUUUAAUGAGUUAUUGGAUCAUUUGCAAUAGCAUAGUGACUGCUUGGAUUUUGAACUCUUUGAUUCCGUGCAUGAAAUUGGGAAAUUUGUAUGGAUGACCCAUUUUUGGGCCCAAAAUGUCAAAUGACCCAUUUUCAAAAAAUAAUGUCAAUUGACCCUCUACUGACAUCAUCAUCAUACCAAAUUACAUAAUUUCCAUUAGAA